AUACUACUCCCUCCGUCCGUAAAUACUUGUCAUCAAAAUGGAUAAAAAGGGAUGUAUCUAGAACUAAAAUACGUCUAGAUACAUCCCCUUUUAUCCAUUUUGGUGACAAAUAUUUCCGGAUGGAGGGAGUAUAUU
rfam:Triticum aestivum genome assembly, contig: Triticum_aestivum_CS42_TGACv1_scaffold_049418_1BS